rnacentral:rRNA from 1 species
GAUGAACGCUGGCGGCGGGCCUAAUACAUGCAAGUCGAGCGAAUGGACGAGAAUCGUGCUUGGCUUAUGUUGCCGACGGGCGAGUAAUUCACACGUGUAUAACCGACCUAUAAGGCUGACGUAACGUCGCGAGACCUAAUCCAGCACCCGUUCAGAGUUUGAACGUCAUGGUUCAUAAGUCCAAGACGUUCUUGCUGACCCUUAGAGAUAUAUCCACGCUGCAUUAGCUAGUUGGUAAGGUAACGGCUUACCAAGGCAACGAUGCAUAGCUGACCUGAGAGGGUGAUCGGCCACACUGGAACUGAGACACGGUCCAGACUCCUACGGGAGGCAGCAGUAGGGAAUAUUGGACAAUGGGCGAAAGCCUGACGGAGCAACGCCGCGUGAGUGAUGAAGGUCUUCGGAUCGUAAAACACUGUUAUUAGGGAAGAACAUCAGUGUGAGUAAAUCUGCAUAUUUUGACGUUACCAACAGAGAAAGCCCCGGCUAACUACGUG